rnacentral:rRNA from 1 species
AUUGAACGCUGGCGGAAUGCUUUACACAUGCAAGUCGAGCGGCAGCGCGGGGGCAACCCUGGCGGCGAGCGGCGAACGGGGUGAGUAAUGCAUCGGAACGUACCCAGUAAUGGGGGAUAACUGUCCGAAAGGACAGCUAAUACCGCAUACGCCCUGAGGGGGGAAAGCGGGGGAUCGCAAGACCUCGCGUUAUUGGAGCGGCCGAUGUCGGAUUAGCUAGUUGGUGGGGUAAAGGCCUACCAAGGCGACGAUCCGUAGCUGGUCUGAGAGGACGACCAGCCACACUGGAACUGAGACACGGUCCAGACUCCUACGGGAGGCAGCAGUGGGGAAUUUUGGACAAUGGGGCAACCCUGAUCCAGCCAUUCCGCGUGAGUGAAGAAGGCCUCGGGUUGUAAAGCUCUUUCGGCAGGGAAGAAAAGGCGGGCUCUAACAUAGCCUGUUCAUGACGGUACCUGAAGAAGAAGCACCGGCUAACUACGUGCCAGCAGCCGCGGUAAUACGUAGGGUGCGAGCGUUAAUCGGAAUUACUGGGCGUAAAGCGUGCGCAGGCGGUUUUGUAAGACAGGUGUGAAAUCCCGGCGUUAACCUGGGAACUGCGCUUGUGACUGCAAGACUGGAGUGCGGCAGAGGGGGUGGAAUACCACGUGUAGCAGUGAACUGCGUAGAGAUGUGGAGGAACACCGAUGGCGAAGGCAGCCCCCUGGGGUCGACACUGACGCUCAUGCA